UACGAAGGGGCUAGCGUUGCUCGGAAUCACUGGGCGUAAAGGGCGCGUAGGCGGCGUUUUAAGUCGGGGUGAAAGCCUGUGGCUCAACCACAGAAUGGCCCUUCGAUACUGGGACGCUUGAGUAUGGUAGAGGUUGGUGGAACUGCGAGUGUAGAGGUGAAAUUCGUAGAUAUUCGCAAGAACACCGGUGGCGAAGGCGGCCA
rnacentral:rRNA from 1 species